AGCGAACGCUGGCGGCAGGCCUAACACAUGCAAGUCGAGCGGAUGACGGGAGCUUGCUCCUUGAUUCAGCGGCGGACGGGUGAGUAAUGCCUAGGAAUCUGCCUGGUAGUGGGGGACAACGUUCCGAAAGGAACGCUAAUACCGCAUACGUCCUACGGGAGAAAGCAGGGGACCUUCGGGCCUUGCGCUAUCAGAUGAGCCUAGGUCGGAUUAGCUAGUAGGUGAGGUAAUGGCUCACCUAGGCGACGAUCCGUAACUGGUCUGAGAGGAUGAUCAGUCACACUGGAACUGAGACACGGUCCAGACUCCUACGGGAGGCAGCAGUGGGGAAUAUUGGACAAUGGGCGAAAGCCUGAUCCAGCCAUGCCGCGUGUGUGAAGAAGGUCUUCGGAUUGUAAAGCACUUUAAGUUGGGAGGAAGGGCAGUAAGUUAAUACCUUGCUGUUUUGACGUUACCGACAGAAUAAGCACCGGCUAACUCUGUGCCAGCAGCCGCAGUAAUAC
rnacentral:rRNA from 1 species